AAAAAAAAGAAAAAAAUCGAACAUAGAAAAUUUAUAAAAGUCUAAUAAUCGACGUGAGAAAUCGCUCAUAUGAUCCAACUGUUUUAAAUCUUGGAUAUUUAUCAAUGACCCCAUUCAUCUGGAUGUCCUGUGCCACCUCCAGGUGUACCAGAAGGACGAGAUACACUAGGAGGAAGAUAAGCAGGUCCUUGAGGUUCGCCUCGAAUUCCUAUCAGCAUCGUUGCUACUAAUAAUGCCUAUAAAAUU